UACUCGAUUGGGAUGGAAUGGCGAAACUUCUCGUCUCUGAUAAGGCUCGUCGGGAGUUCUCGAAUCUACGUCACGCUUUUGACGAGGUUUAUUUUUAAAUACCGACGAAUUAUCAUUUGAUAAACGUUGCGGUUCGUGCUGAUGAGAUGCCGAUGGAUUGAGUCAGCGGUGGGCGGAACACUAUUAUUGAGGCGAAAGGGGUCAUUGCAGCGAAGGAGUGUGCUUAUAAACAAUUGCUUCUUCCAAUGAUUCUUCUUAAAAAGAAGUUGUCAUCAAGGCUGAUUUAAGUGCAGCAGGAGACCAGUUGGGAUGAAAAUAUUUGACGUAAGAAGCU